rnacentral:rRNA from 1 species
GACGGACGCUGGCGGCGUGCCUAAUACAUGCCAGUUGAGCGCUGAAGGUUGGUACUUGUACCGACUGGAUGAGCAGCGAACGGGUGAGUAACGCGUGGGGAAUCUGCCUUUGAGCGGGGGACAACAUUUGGAAACGAAUGCUAAUACCGCAUAAAAACUUUAAACACAAGUUUUAAGUUUGAAAGAUGCAAUUGCAUCACUCAAAGAUGAUCCCGCGUUGUAUUAGCUAGUUGGUGAGGUAAAGGCUCACCAAGGCGAUGAUACAUAGCCGACCUGAGAGGGUGAUCGGCCACAUUGGGACUGAGACACGGCCCAAACUCCUACGGGAGGCAGCAGUAGGGAAUCUUCGGCAAUGGACGAAAGUCUGACCGAGCAACGCCGCGUGAGUGAAGAAGGGUUUCGGAUCGUAAAACUCUGUUGGUAGAGAAGAACGUUGGUGAGAGUGGAAAGCUCAUCAAGUGACGGUAACUACCCAGAAAGGGACGGCUAACUACGUG